UGGUUCGGUUCGGUUUCACAAUGUCCGUUAGUUUUUUGUUUUUUCACCCUCGUAAAUAGUGUAUCUUUUGAAAACAGAGGUACGCAAACGCCCUUGUGAUCUUCUCUUAAAGGUUUGCAGAAUCAGAGAGGUGCUUACGCGAGGCGGUGAAGAUAGCUGAGCGAGUAAGGGAAGGGAGACUCGUAGCAAUCCCUGUCUUCUAUGUGGGUUUCCAGAAAUUACUAUUACAAUUCUUCUUCAACUGAAAUCUCAGUAAGAAAUAUUACAUUUUAGGAUCAGUAUAAAGUAAAGAAACCAAAUAGUGAUAGUUGACUUGUCGUCUUCUCGAGUCAUUUUACCAACUUUUUAACGCAGAUAACAAAAUAUCAAU